AGAAAUAAUUGACACUCAUAGCCAGUCUCGUGGCCAUGGGUAAAGUCCUCAGUUUUUCACUUGUAUAAAGUUCAUGAAGGGUUAAGAGUGUCAUAACAGAGACCAGCAACUAAGUGAGAAUAUGAUUCUUCUAUGCACAUCUGGCUGACAUGAUUGUCGUGCUCACACAUGAACAGGGCCUAGGAAUGAGGUGGUAUUGCUCCAUAUGCCUGAGACCCUAACAAAAGCCUAAUUACAACUCAUAUGCCUGGAGCCAGGACAUGUGCAGGAUGGUGAUGUAACUUUCCUCUCUGGAAUGGGUCCUGCACAAAGGAAUGAUAGUAACAUAUUGCAAAGCCAGACACACAGCCAUGAUGGUCCAAGUUAUAUUGGGAUUCAGCCAAUAGAAGAUAUUUUGCCUGUCAUCCCUAAGCUUAGGACAAUAGGGUCCUGCCCACAAGAAAGAUUGUGACAUCUCACUGGACAAGCACCCACCCAGACUCUGCCAAGAGAGGGGAUUAUUACAUAUUGCAGAGCCCAGCACCUAGGUGGAGUGACUCUCAUCUUUUUCUUCUACCCCGUAUAUAGCCAGCUUGGUGACCUACUAUUUGAGUCUAUACCCAGGCCCAGACCACAGAUGAAAUUGUGCAAUAUGUGGAACAAACACCUAAACAAUAUAUAACACCUUCCUUGGCUCUGUCUACAAAGGGCACUUUUAUAUAUCACUGGGACCAUCAACCAGGUGAUGUUAAUUAUCUUCCUGAAACCUGUCUACAAAGAGAGUUGUGUCGUAUACCUAGGCCCGUCAUGUAAGUGAUGUCAGUCCCUUCUACUGCCUUGGCCCUGCACUUACAGUGCAUUGUGACACAUAACAAGGUACUGCACACAGACGAUGUGAUUCUCCUUUUUGGGUUCUGCCAAAAGGAAGCAUUGUAAUAAAUCGCUUGGCUCAGUACCAAGGUGAUGUUUCUUUGCUUUUGCCUGGGCCCUGAUAACAGGGAGAUUGUGAUCUAUUGCUGGGCCCAACAAAAAUGUGAGGUCACUCUCCAGCCGUGGUACUUCACAUAAGCGCCAUUGUGACAUGUAUCUAGGCCAAUUGCCUAGGUGAAGUGAGUUUCCUCUCUUGCCAAAGUCCUGCCCACAGAGGGGGUUUUGAUAUGUCACUGAAAUCAGCAUUCAGGUGAUGUGACUCUUCUGCCAGGGUCCUGCGUACUAGGUGGAUUGUGACAUCUCACUGGACCCGCAACCAUGUAGGUCAUGUGACUUUCAUGCCUUCUCACUGGCCACAGGUGAUGUUGUGCCAUAUAACUGAGACCGUAUCAAAAGCCUAAUAACAAGACGUAUGUCUGGAGCCCCGAUAUGCACAGGAUGGUGAUAUAACCCUCUUCUCUGGAAUGGGCCCCACACAAAGGAAGGAUAGUGACAUAUUGCAAGCCCAGGCACACAGGCCCAGAGCACAGUUGAAAUUGUGACAUAUGUACACCAAGCAACCAAGCAAUGUAUAACACCUCAUUUGGCAAUGGAAUCGAGGGCACUUUUACAUAUCACUGAGACCAGCGCCCAGCUGAUGUGAAAUAUUGGCCUGAACCCUGCCUACAAAAGCAUUGUGGCUUUUAUCUAGCUCCAUUACAUAAGUGAUGUGACUUCCUUCUACUGCCUUGGCCCUGCACUUAUGGUGAAUCGUGACACAAAAUUGGGUAGAGCAACCAGCCUGGGCCCUGACCAGCACAGAGAUUGAGGCAUAUUGCUGAACCCAGGACCAAGAUGAAGUCACUCUCCUGCCUUGAUCCUGCACACAGGGACCCUUGUGACAUAUAUACAGGCCAAUUGCCUAGGUGAUGUUGUGCAAUAUACCUGAGACCAGAUCAAUGGCCUAAUAAUGACUCUUUUACCUAGAGCCAGGACAUGUGCAGGAUGGUAACUCUCAUCCCUGAACCUUUCCACAGGUGUUAUUGUCACAUAUACCUUUUCCAGCUCCAAAGUGAUUUAAUAAUCCAGCCUAGUUAUAGCCCACAGAUAAUAUUUGGACAUAUACCUGAGUCAAGAACCUUGGUGAUUUGACUCUCAUGUCUUAACAGUGUCCUCAGAAGGGAUCAUAACAUAUCUCUGGACCCAUCAUCUAGGUUAUGUGACUCUCUUCUCCUGCCUGAACCCUGCUUCCAGUGAAGAGUGUUGCAUUUCUAAGCACUGCAUCCAAAUGACAUGAGUUUCUUGCCUGGGCCGUUUCAACAGAAGGCAUUGUGACAUAUCUCUAGGUCUAUCAUUUAGGUGAUAUGACUCUCCUCUCCUGCCUGGACACUCUCCACAAGGGGCAUUAUGCCAUAGAGCUAGAGCUAGCAACCAAGUUUUGUGAAUUUUCUGUUAGGGCCUUGCCUACAAAGAGAAUUUUGGAAUAUUUCUGGCUUAGAAUUUAAGUAAUGUGGUUGUUCUGCCUGUUCAGUAACCACAGAGGAGAAGGUGAAAUAUAUCUAGGCACCGCAAACAGGCAUGAUAAUGAGUCUUGUAUGUGGACCCAGCAAAUAGGAGAAAUUUUGACUCUUAUAACUAGGUUUAGGAACAUGAGUGAUGUCCAGGAUCUCCUUCUGGUAAGAAGGUCACAGAAGAUUGCAACACUCACAAUUAUUUUGUAACACCUUUGGGUUGUAUAGGGAGUGUCGUAACAGGGCCAAACACACAGAGGAAAUUGUGACAGUCAUAUGCACACCUACCUGACAGUAAAGACUUUCACAAUCACAAAUGGAUGAAGGCAACUGUCCUACAUGAAAACAGGACAUGUGUGGUAUUGUACAUCUAAAACCUAGAAUUUUAUUCCAUUGUGACUGUGAUAUAAAUCAAUGCCAAGCACCUGCGUGAUUUCA
ensembl:lncRNA LINC00293 long intergenic non-protein coding RNA 293